UACGUAGGGGGCAAGCGUUGUCCGGAAUCAUUGGCGUAAAGCGCGUGUAGGCGGUUCGAUAAGUCUGCUGUGAAAGUCCAGGGCUCAACCCUGGAAAGCCGGUGGAUACUGUCGGACUAGAGUACGGAAGAGGCGAGUGGAAUUCCCGGUGUAGCGGUGAAAUGCGCGGAUAUCGGGAGGAACACCAAUUGCGAAGGCAGCUCGCUGGGACGUCACUGACGCUGAGACGCGAAAGCGUGGGGAGCAAACAGG
rnacentral:rRNA from 1 species